rnacentral:rRNA from 1 species
AGCAGCCGCGGUAAUUCCAGCUCCAAUAGCGUAUAUUAAAGUUGUUGCAGUUAAAAAGCUCGUAGUUGAACUUCAGGCCUGGCUGGACGGUCCGCCUUCCGGGUGAGUACUGUCUGUGGUCGGGUCCUACCUUCUGGCGAAGCGUCAUGGCCUUAACCGGCCGUGGCGGGGAACCAGGACUUUUACUGUGAAAAAUUAGAGUGUUCAAAGCAGACAAUUCGCUUGGAUACAUUAGCAUGGAAUAAUGGAAUAGGACAAUUGUUCUAUUUGUUGGUUUCUAGGACUGUUGUAAUGAUUAAUAGGGAUAGUUGGGGACAUUAGUAUUCAAUUGUCAGAGGUGAAAUUCUUGGAUUUAUUGAAGACUAACUACUGCGAAAGCAUUUGCCAAGGAUGUUUUCAUUAAUCAAGAACGAAAGUUAGGGGAUCGAAGACGAUCAGAUACCGUCGUAG